rnacentral:rRNA from 1 species
AGUCGAGCGAACGGACGAGAAGCUUGCUUCUCUGAUGUUAGCGGCGGACGGGUGAGUAACACGUGGAUAACCUACCUAUAAGACUGGGAUAACUUCGGGAAACCGGAGCUAAUACCGGAUGAUAUUUUGAACCGCAUGGUUCAAAAGUGAAAGACGGUCUUGCUGUCACUUAUAGAUGGAUCCGCGCUGCAUUAGCUAGUUGGUAAGGUAACGGCUUACCAAGGCAACGAUGCAUAGCCGACCUGAGAGGGUGAUCGGCCACACUGGAACUGAGACACGGUCCAGACUCCUACGGGAGGCAGCAGUAGGGAAUCUUCCGCAAUGGGCGAAAGCCUGACGGAGCAACGCCGCGUGAGUGAUGAAGGUCUUCGGAUCGUAAAACUCUGUUAUUAGGGAAGAACAUAUGUGUAAGUAACUGUGCACAUCUUGACGGUACCUAAUCAGAAAGCCACGGCUAACUACGUGCCAGCAGCCGCGGUAAUACGUAGGUGGCAAGCGUUAUCCGGAAUUAUUGGGCGUAAAGCGCGCGUAGGCGGUUUUUUAAGUCUGAUGUGAAAGCCCACGGCUCAACCGUGGAGGGUCAUUGGAAACUGGAAAACUUGAGUGCAGAAGAGGAAAGUGGAAUUCCAUGUGUAGCGGUGAAAUGCGCAGAGAUAUGGAGGAACACCAGUGGCGAAGGCGACUUUCUGGUCUGUAACUGACGCUGAUGUGCGAAA